rnacentral:rRNA from 1 species
UACAGAGGUUGCAAGCGUUGUUCGGAAUUAUUGGGCGUAAAGCGCGUGUAGGCGGCUUUGCAAGUCGGGUGUGAAAGCCCUCAGCUCAACUGAGGAAGUGCGCCCGAAACUGCAGAGCUUGAGUACCGGAGAGGAUGGCGGAAUUCCCCAAGUAGAGGUGAAAUUCGUAGAUAUGGGGAGGAACACCGGUGGCGAAGGCGGCCAUCUGGACGGAUACUGACGCUGAGACGCGAAAGCGUGGGUAGCAAACAGG